UACGUAGGGCGCAAGCGUUGUCCGGAAUUAUUGGGCGUAAAGAGCUCGUAGGCGGUUUGUCGCGUCUGCUGUGAAAUCCUCAGGCUCAACCUGGGGCUUGCAGUGGGUACGGGCAGACUAGAGUGCGGUAGGGGUGACUGGAAUUCCUGGUGUAGCGGUGGAAUGCGCAGAUAUCAGGAGGAACACCGAUGGCGAAGGCAGGUCACUGGCUCGUAACUGACGCUCAGGCGCGACAGCGUGGGGAUUAAACAGG
rnacentral:rRNA from 1 species